AUGCGACCCCUCGUUGUCAAACUUCGCAUUAUUGGGUGGCGAUUCGGAAGGGAAAGACACACAGGCUUAAUAGCUCAAUAAACGACAGCCCACCAUGUUCCUGCUAACAGGGUUAUUGUUCCUGGCAGUACUCGUCUCACUUGCUGUUGGACAAUUUUAUAUUAUGGGGGAUUCUCCAGACUUCCCCGACCCUCCGGACUACUUCUACGGCGGAGCCCCAUUCAUGCCCAGACCUUUCUUUGGCCGACCACCGCCUUUCAUCUACGGUUGAACAUCUAGGGAUUGGAGCACAAUGUAUAUUUUAAAAUAAACAAUCUAUACUUUUAA